AACGAACGCUGGCGGCAUGCCUAACACAUGCAAGUCGAACGAGACCUUCGGGGCUAGUGGCGCACGGGUGCGUAACGCGUGGGAACCUGCCCUUAGGUUCGGAAUAACUCCCCGAAAGGUGUGCUAAUACCGGAUAAUGUCUUCGGACUAAAGAUUUAUCGCCUUUGGAUGGGCCCGCGUUGGAUUAGCUAGUUGGUAGGGUAAAAGCCUACCAAGGCGACGAUCCAUAGCUGGUCUGAGAGGAUGAUCAGCCACACUGGGACUGAGACACGGCCCAGACUCCUACGGGAAGCAGCAGUGGGGAAUAUUGGACAAUGGGCGAAAGCCUGAUCCAGCAAUGCCGCGUGAGUGAUGAAGGCCUUAGGGUUGUAAAGCUCUUUUACCCGGGAUGAUAAUGACAGUACCGGGAGAAUAAGCUCCGGCUAACUCCGUG
rnacentral:rRNA from 1 species